AGAGUUUGAUCCUGGCUCAGGACGAACGCUGGCGGCGCGCCUAACACAUGCAAGUCGAACGAAGGAAGGGGGCUUGCCCCUGAACUUAGUGGCGGACGGGUGAGUAACACGUGAGCAACCUGCCCUAUAGAGGGGGAUAACGUUUGGAAACGAACGCUAAUACCGCAUAACGCGCUGGGGGGACAUCCCUUUGGCGCCAAAGGAGCAAUCCGCUAUAGGAUGGGCUCGCGUCCGAUUAGAUAGUUGGCGGGGUAACGGCCCACCAAGUCGACGAUCGGUAGCCGGACUGAGAGGUUGAACGGCCACAUUGGGACUGAGACACGGCCCAGACUCCUACGGGAGGCAGCAGUGGGGGAUAUUGCACAAUGGAGGGAACUCUGAUGCAGCGACGCCGCGUGAGGGAAGAAGGUUUUCGGAUUGUAAACCUCUGUCUUCGGUGACGAAACGAGACGGUAGCCGAGGAGGAAGCCACGGCUAACUACGUG
rnacentral:rRNA from 1 species